rnacentral:rRNA from 1 species
GCUUGUCUCAAAGAUUAAGCCAUGCAUGUCUUAGUGUAAAUAACUCUUAUGAAACUGCGAAUGGCUCAUUAAAUCAGUUAUCGUUUAUUUGAUGGUCCCUUACUACAUGGAUAACCGUGGUAAUUCUAGAGCUAAUACAUGCUAAAAACCCCGACUUCGGAAGGGGUGUAUUUAUUAGAUAAAAAACCAAUGCCCUCUGGGCUCCUUGGUGAUUCAUAAUAACUUAACGAAUCGCAUGGCCUUGCGCCGGCGAUGGUUCAUUCAAAUUUCUGCCCUAUCAAUUUUCGAUGGUAGAGUAGUGGUCUACCAUGAUCUUAACGGGUAACGGGGAAUUAGGGUUCUAUUCCGGAGAAGGAGCCUGAGAAACGGCUACUACAUCCAAGGAAGGCAGCAGG